rnacentral:rRNA from 1 species
CAGCAGUAGCCGCGGUAAUACGUAGGGUGCGAGCGUUAAUCGGAAUUACUGGGCGUAAAGGGCGCGUAGGCGGCCAUUCAAGUUAGAUGUGAAAGCCCUGGGCUCAACCUAGGAAUUGCAUUUGAUACUGUUUGGCUUGAGUUCGGGAGAGGUGAGUGGAAUUCCCAGUGUAGAGGUGAAAUUCGUAGAUAUUGGGAAGAACACCAGUGGCGAAGGCGGCUCACUGGACCGACACUGACGCUGAGGCGCGAAAGCGUGGGGAGCAAACAGGAUUAGAUACCCCGGUAGUCCCUGUCUCUUAUAC